rnacentral:rRNA from 1 species
UACGGAGGGAGCUAGCGUUGUUCGGAAUUACUGGGCGUAAAGCGCACGUAGGCGGCUUUGUAAGUUAGAGGUGAAAGCCCGGGGCUCAACUCCGGAACUGCCUUUAAGACUGCAUCGCUUGAAUCCGGGAGAGGUGAGUGGAAUUCCGAGUGUAGAGGUGAAAUUCGUAGAUGUUCGGAAGAACACCAGUGGCGAAGGCGGCUCACUGGACCGGUAUUGACGCUGAGGUGCGAAAGCGUGGGGAGCGAACCGG